rnacentral:rRNA from 1 species
GACGAACGCUUGCGGCGUGCUUAACACAUGCAAGUCGAACGGAAAGGCCCUGCUUUUGUGGGGUGCUCGAGUGGCGAACGGGUGAGUAACACGUGAGUAACCUGCCCUUGACUUUGGGAUAACUUCAGGAAACUGGGGCUAAUACCGGAUAGGAGCUCCUGCUGCAUGGUGGGGGUUGGAAAGUUUCGGCGGUUGGGGAUGGACUCGCGGCUUAUCAGCUUGUUGGUGGGGUAGUGGCUUACCAAGGCUUUGACGGGUAGCCGGCCUGAGAGGGUGACCGGCCACAUUGGGACUGAGAUACGGCCCAGACUCCUACGGGAGGCAGCAGUGGGGAAUAUUGCACAAUGGGCGGAAGCCUGAUGCAGCAACGCCGCGUGCGGGAUGACGGCCUUCGGGUUGUAAACCGCUUUCGCCUGUGACGAAGCGUGAGUGACGGUAAUGGGUAAAGAAGCACCGGCUAACUACGUGCCAGCAGCCGCGGUGAUACGUAGGGUGCGAGCGUUGUCCGGAUUUAUUGGGCGUAAAGGGCUCGUAGGUGGUUGAUCGCGUCGGAAGUGUAAUCUCGGGGCUUAACCCUGAGCGUGCUUUCGAUACGGGUUGACUUGAGGAAGGUAGGGGAGAAUGGAAUUCCUGGUGGAGCGGUGGAAUGCGCAGAUAUCAGGAGGAACACCAGUGGCGAAGGCGGUUCUCUGGGCCUUUCCUGACGCUGAGGAGCGAAAGCGUGGGGAGCGAACAGGCUUAGAUACCCUGGUAGUCCACGCUGUAAACGGUGGGUACUAGGUGUGGGGUCCAUUCCACGGGUUCCGUGCCGUAGCUAACGCUUUAAGUACCCCGCCUGGGGAGUACGGCCGCAAGGCUAAAACUCAAAGGAAUUGACGGGGCCCCGCACAAGCGGCGGAGCAUGCGGAUUAAUUCGAUGCAACGCGUAGAACCUUACCUGGGUUUGACAUGGAUCGGGAGUGCUCAGAGAUGGGUGUGCCUCUUUUGGGGUCGGUUCACAGGUGGUGCAUGGCUGUCGUCAGCUCGUGUCGUGAGAUGUUGGGUUAAGUCCCGCAACGGGCGCAACCCUUGUUCACUGUUGCCAGCACGUUAUGGUGGGGACUCAGUGGAGACCGCCGGGGUCAACUCGGAGGAAGGUGGGGAUGACGUCAAGUCAUCAUGCCCCUUAUGUCCAGGGCUUCACGCAUGCUACAAUGGCUGGUACAGAGAGUGGCGAGCCUGUGAGGGUGAGCGAAUCUCGGAAAGCCGGUCUCAGUUCGGAUUGGGGUCUGCAACUCGACCUCAUGAAGUCGGAGUCGCUAGUAAUCGCAGAUCAGCAACGCUGCGGUGAAUACGUUCCCGGGGCU